AUUAUAGAAACAUUAAGGUAGUAUCGCAAAGAAAAACCUAUAUGGCUUGACGGUUAUGAUAAAUUAGAGAAACUCGCCCCAUAAUCGUAAACACCCGUUAAUUUUAACCUAUUCUCAAAGCCUAUAUACCGCCGUCAUCUAGCCUAAAUCAAAAAAAACAACAAAAAAAACACAUUUCAAAAAUCAGGUCAAGGUGUAGCCCAUGAUUAGAUGUGAGGGUAAGUUACACUAAAAAAUAUUUAAGGAUUUAUCUUACAAAUCAAGAAAGGAAAGAGAAUCUAACCGUACACGGUGAUUAAAAAUCACAAUCGAUAUUUAUAAUCAUAAUGC
rnacentral:rRNA from 1 species